rnacentral:rRNA from 1 species
CCUACGGGAGGCAGCAGUGAGGAAUAUUGGUCAAUGGGCGCGAGCCUGAACCAGCCAAGUAGCGUGAAGGAUGACUGCCCUACGGGUUGUAAACUUCUUUUAUAAAGGAAUAAAGUGAGGCACGUGUGCCUUUUUGUAUGUACUUUAUGAAUAAGGAUCGGCUAAAUCCGUGCCAGAAGCCGCGGUAAUACGGAGGAGCCGAGCGUUAUCCGGAUUUAUUGGGUUUAAAGGGAGCGUAGAUGGGUUGUUAAGUCAGUUGUGAAAGUGUGCGGCUCAACCGUAAAAUUGCAAUGGAUACUGGCAGCCUUGAGUACAGUUGAGGUAGGCGGAAUUCGUGGUGUAGCGGUGAAAUGCUUAGAUAUCACGAAGAACUCCGAUUGCGAAGGCAGCUUACUAAACUGCCACUGACAUUGAUGCUCGAAAGUGUGGGUAUCAAACAGGAUUAGAUACCCCAGUAGUC